CACGUAGGGUGCGAGCGUUGUCCGGAAUUAUUGGGCGUAAAGAGCUCGUAGGCGGUGUGUCGCGUCGGCCGUGAAAACCUGCAGCUUAACUGUGGGCGUGCGGUCGAUACGGGCAUCACUGGAGUUCGGCAGGGAGACUGGAAUUCCUGGUGUAGCGGUGAAAUGCGCAGAUAUCAGGAGGAACACCGGUGGCGAAGGCGGGUCUCUGGGCCGAUACUGACGCUGAGGAGCGAAAGCGUGGGGAGCGAACAGG
rnacentral:rRNA from 1 species